UGUCGAAAUUUAUAAUAUAAGCACCAAUUUGCGAAAGAAUUUCUUGUGUAUUAGCCGGCCUGGGACAUAGUACUUCUGAUUUAUAGUUUUUUACCAUCUGUUCCUCAUGCUAUUUGUUGUUAUCUUUAUUUUGCUGAACUUUUCUUGAAUAAAGCUGUAAACAACAAAUUGAGUAUCUAAAAACUACAAUUUUUCAUUUUUUUAUUUUUUUAUUUUACUUUUGAAGUGAGCCAGAAAUACUUUGGAGAAUACGAAACUCUACCUAAAUUGUUGGUUAUUGUCCAAUUCUUUUCCAGAUUUGACACACGGAGAACGAUCUUAUGGGAAAAGAAUUCAUAAUUGAAACCGACUGGGGGACGGGCCCAAGCUGUUUAUCUUCCACACCUACUAAAUAAAACAUUUUUGGUUAUCUUACUUAUUUUAGUUUACUUGUAAGUCAAUGUUUAAAUCAAAACCAAAUGAAUAUAUUCUCAUUGUCCGACUUGCUCAUUGGACGGGACACAUAUCUAAGAGGUAAACACUUGACUUCAGUGUUCUAGAAGGAAUACAACUCAAACAACAAAGUUCAUAUUUUUGCUACCACUAAAAUAGAAAUCAGAUUCAGAUGUAGUUCUACUUCAUUUUUUCCAUUGGUGAAAGACAAUGGCCAUAUGAAUUCUUCAUUCUCAAGAGGCUAGGCAGUCUACUAAUUGUUAAUGGGAACUUUUGUUUCGACACAGAUGAUAAGGUUCCCCAUAUGGAAAUUUCAGCAAAAGAACUGUUGGUAUGAAAGGCAUAGGAAAUAAGGUAUGCCUCAUAUGUAUAUAUGUUAACUUGAGUUUUUGGAUGCUGAUUUGAAAAUUUUUCUAUUGUAAUAUUAAAACUAAUUAUAUUUCACAUACAUUUAUUAAUUUGCUUAUCUCCUGCCAUGUGUGUUCAUAGAUCAACUUAUUUUCAUAACCUGCCCAGUUUCUUUUUUCUUUUAGUUCAUUUCUUGGAAUUAGAAUACAUAAACAUGUUGCUGUGCCAGAACAAAUAAAUACCUAGUUUAUAUUGUGGACUUGCUGUGAAUUGUACCUUUCCAUUUCGAAUCUUUCUUCUCAAUUUCUCUUGGAAGAGAUUAUAAUAUUUUCUUUUCUUCCUAAUCUUUACUCUAAAUAUUGACUCCCCCCUACACGUGGCUGUAGUUUAUUAAUGUUUAUUUGAGGUUAAAUGCUAGCUGAGUUAAACUAAAAUUAUCAACUAUAAAGAGCAGCGUGACACAUUCCCAAUGAUUAUUUCCCUUAAUUUAUAUUCAUUGAAGAUUAAGCCCUAUUUUGGAGGUAAAGAAUGAAUUUUUUGAAUAGUAUAUUGAUGGAAAAUGUGGUUAGAAAAUAAGGAAAAGUUUUAUAUUUGUG
rnacentral:lncRNA from 1 species